AACAGGGCUAACGUCUCAUUGCAAGCCCACCUCAUCACGUCACCGCGGCAAGAAUGCGACGGAGAAUCAAUCAGCAAGCACAUCAAGUUUGAGAAUUCUUAACAAUGCUCUGCUCCCAUCUCUGUUCUUUCACGUUUCCAAAUCUUUUUCUGGGCGACCUCUGUAGCAUUUAGCGUUCAUUCUGAAGCACAAUUCGUUAAACCAUCCUCGGUUUAGCUUGAGAUGCAGGAUUUAAUCGGCUUUUGAGGGGGUUUUGUUCAAAAUCCUAUCUGGGUUCUUCGAAUUUAUGAAGUUUCGAUUGCAUUGAAACUAAAUUAGUACGAAACUGUUUUUGAGCUGGUUACUAUCGCGGGUCAGCUUCAAAAUCACGAAGUUCGUUUACCCUCUAACGGGUUGACUCCGGAAACAUGGUUUCUAUAUCGGGUUCGGUGUUGUUCCCAUUAACUGCACCCAAUUGUUCCUCUGGAUCGCGUAAAGUAGCUGUUCUUGAUGCGUCCAAUUCGUUUUGUUUUAAGAAAAAGGAGCAGAGGAGGAUUGUUUGUAAUUGCAUUGCGCCACCGCCGUACUUCAAGAGUGAUGAGUCAUCUGCCGUAAAUUCCAAUGACUCGUUUAGAUCAGAAAAUUUAAUCCCAGAUAAUGAGCAUGAGGAUGAGUCUGAUGUUCUCAUCGAGUGUAGAGAUGUCUACAAAUCCUUUGGGGAAAAGCAUAUACUGAGAGGUGUGAGCUUCAAGAUUAGACAUGGAGAAGCCGUGGGAGUAAUUGGGCCUUCUGGUACUGGGAAGUCUACAAUACUGAAGAUCAUUGCCGGUCUUCUUGCUCCAGACAAGGGUGAGGUAUAUAUUCGAGGUAGAAAGCGAGUUGGUUUGAUCGAUGAUGAGGAGAUAUCUGGUCUUCGAAUUGGAUUGGUUUUUCAAAGUGCAGCCCUUUUUGACUCAUUAACUGUUCGAGAAAAUGUUGGUUUCCUUUUGUAUGAAAAUUCAAGCUUGUCUGGAGAUCAAAUCUCAGCUCUGGUAACUGAGAAUUUAGCUGCUGUUGGGCUGAAGGGAGUUGAGGAUCGGUUACCUUCUGAAUUAUCAGGUGGAAUGAAGAAACGAGUUGCUUUAGCUAGGUCUAUAAUCUUUGAUAACACAAGGAAAGAAAUUGAGCCAGAGGUACUCUUGUAUGAUGAACCAACUGCUGGACUCGAUCCAAUUGCAUCAACUGUCGUUGAAGAUCUUAUCCGUUCUGUACAUAUUAAGGGCGAAGAUGCUAGCGGGAAGCCCGGAAAUAUUGCGUCCUAUAUUGUAGUCACCCACCAACAUAGUACCAUUAGGAGAGCUGUUGACAGGUUAUUGUUUUUAUACGAGGGGAAAGUUGUCUGGCAAGGAAUGACUCAUGAAUUUACUACAUCAACAAAUCCGAUUGUUCAACAGUUUGCAUCGGGAAACUUGGACGGUCCAAUUAAGUACUAGCAGCAGUAACACUAAUGAUCAUGUACUUUUAGAUUAGACACAGCACCAUUCCUAAUUCUUUGGAGGCAGCAGAGUAGACCCAGAGAAGCUCAUGGUUCAAAGAAAGGGUGGGGUAUUGAUAAAAAUCAAUUCCAAAUCACAAUUGUCAAGGCUCACGCUACAACAUGAGUUCGAACAACUGGAAACAGAUUUGAAUACAGAAAGAGAUUCGUACCAGUUGCAUUUACUUUCCCAUUUGCUUAGUAACAAACAGACAGCUAUAUUUACUCAUUUACGAAGGCUUACCUCAAAUUCGAUCCCCUUAUGAUUGCUUCCACUUGAAGAGUAUUACUUGCACUUGCACCAUAAGUACUAGACUUUGAUAAAGUAAUGGGGAGUUAACAUUAUUUCAAAGUAUUUUUGUUCCUUUUUUUGUUCACUUUGAAGCAUAUGGGAA